rnacentral:rRNA from 1 species
UACGGAGGGUGCAAGCGUUAUCCGGAUUUACUGGGUUUAAAGGGUGCGUAGGUGGGCAGGUAAGUCAGCGGUGAAAUCUCCGAGCUUAACUCGGAAACUGCCAUUGAUACUAUCUGUCUUGAAUAUCCUGGAGGUGAGCGGAAUAUGUCAUGUAGCGGUGAAAUGCUUAGAUAUGACAUAGAACACCAAUUGCGAAGGCAGCUCACUACGGGGUCAUUGACACUGAGGCACGAAAGCGUGGGGAUCAAACAGG